rnacentral:tRNA from 1 species
UAGCUCAGUCAGUAGAGCAGAAGACUUUUAACCUUGAGGUCUUGGGUUCGAGCCCCAC